AGAGAGAGACAUGCGCGCAUAUCAAUAAGCGGAGGAAAAGAAACUAACAAGGAUUCCCCUAGUAACGGCGAGUGAAGCGGGAAGAGCUCAAAUUUGAAAUCUUAAAGGGUUUCCCUUUACGAAUUGUAGUUUAAAGAAGUGUUUUCUGUUGAGGUUUUGGUAAAAGUUCUUUGGAAUAGGACAUCAUAGAGGGUGAGAAUCCCGUAUUUGACCUUUACUUUCAACUUUGUGAUACACUUUCAAAGAGUCGGAUUGUUUGGGAAUGCAGUCCAAAAUGGGUGGUAAAUUUCAUCUAAAGCUAAAUAUUGGCGAGAGACCGAUAGCGAACAAGUACCGUGAGGGAAAGAUGAAAAGAACUUUGAAAAGAGAGUUAAACAGUACGUGAAAUUGUCAAAAGGGAAGCGUUUGACACCAGUGUUGUUUUUCUGAAAAUCAAUUAAAGAACUGUUUAUGCUAAGCUGUUUAGACUUUAUCAGCUAACUGUUUAGUUUUGAGCUUUUCUUUAAUGCACUUUUCAGUUAACAAGUCAACAUCAAUUUCUUUUGCUGUAAAAAAGCUUGAGGAAGGUGGCUUGAGAUUCGUCUUAAGUGUUUAUAGCCUCUUGCCUAUGCAGUCGGAGAGAUUGAGGUCUGCAGCGUAGAUCCUUCGGGGCUAAAUGCAUUUGUGCUAAGUUAUAGCAUUUUAUAGACAACUUGUUGACUAUGAUUUGUCUUGUAGCUUACUCGCUUAUGUUAUUUUACCUACGCUUAGGAUGUUGAAGACUCUACAGAGAUA
rnacentral:rRNA from 1 species